rnacentral:lncRNA from 1 species
CUGGGAGCACCCUGUGAACAAUUACUUGGAUAAGGUGUUAGAACUGCUGUUAAUCCCAAGCCUCGUUCAGAGGGCAGCCUGUUGAAACAUCACUUUCGAUGGGCUCCACUGUACUGUUGAUUCUUUUGUUUACAUAAGGCAACCAUUCAGCGUAUUACCUGAUGAGAAAUUGCACACUGAGCACGUUAUAGAGAGGUGAGGGGUUGCACUAAAGGAAUUUUGUUUACUUCAUGCCAUUUUGGGCAUUUGUUCUUCUCUUUCUAAUGGGAUGGAAGAGGUUUUCUUUCUGACACUGACAUAUAGAAAGCAUUUUUUUGGAUGUUUUACAACUUCUAUUAAUACCCAAGCCAUUUAUUUUAUUUAGAUAUAACAACAAGAUGCUUAAUAUACAUUUGGUUGCCCAAUCAGACUGUUCAUAAUAUUCUCUGGGGCAUAAAACCUUCUGUUCCUGGCCCUGGACCUCAUAUCUACCUCUUCGUGGCAUAUUUCCUCUCCUGGGGAAAAAGGAGAGGGGCUUUGUAUUAGUAGGAUUGGACACAGCCUCUCGCCUAAAGGUUUUCUUCAUAUGAAACCUUUAUUUCUUGGCAGAUAUUCAAAAUGUUCUGGCUUGAACAAUUUAGGUUACUACCUCCUGUGGCUGUACUUUCUAACUAAAGCCUAGAAUUCUACCAUCCAGAAGGGGUCCUGUCUACUUCUACCCAUCCCUCACGUUUUACAGAUGAGGCAAAUACGGGUCAGAUUCUUUCUCCAGAUAAUUCCUUGAGGCCUUACAGACCUGUAUACACCGUCUCCCAGGGAUCACACUAGUAAACCAAAUUAAAGAAAAAGAAGUUAUGUGAUUGGUUGCAAUAUUUGUCCAAUUUUAUGUUACACUUCAGAAAACUUUAAAUUCAUGUAUAUUUGGUGACAAAGUAAGUAGGGUGUGCUUAUGGUCAUGACCACUUAACACCAGGCACACAGUGUUUCAAGUCACAUUUUUUGAUAAUUCUAGAUUUGUUUUAAUUUACCUUGUUUCAAGUUUCAAUGUCUUUGCAGAGCAUAAAUUCUCCAUAAGUUAAGGCCUACUUGUACUUUUCAACGUGGCAUGUAGGUUUUACUGUUACUGCUUUGGUAAGGGAUCUGUCCUGACUCUGGGUGUACAAGUUCCAGGCUGUAUACUAAUUACUAAGCACUAAUCAAUAUCUAGGGCUAGUCUACUAAUGGGGACCACAAUGUAAAACAGAUUGAAAAAUGUAUAUUCCUACCAUAUAUGGGCUUAAGCUUAUAAUUGAGUAGUUGGUACAAUACUAUAGAACAGAGUCCAAAGGGUUAUGUACUUCUGUUCCACUUUGGAUCCUAAAUUUGUUUUCCAGAGAUUGGAAUUGGCAUGUGCCCCUUAGACUUCAGGAUAUUGAGACAUAUGUUUAUUAAUGAGCACUAUGAAAUUAUAGUACUCAUAAGGGUGAUCAGCUGAGGAUCCCAGAUACUGAUGUUCCUAGCAUCUCUGAGCCUUUAUUCAAGUAUGUUUCUGCAGAGUCUUAAUAGACUUUGCAAAUGCUUUGUCCAUUGUCUUUAGCCAAGAACCAAUUCUAACCAUAUUCUCUUUGCUCUUUUUGUUCCCAAAUGGCAAAAAUCUUUCCAGUUACAAGCAUAGUCUUUACAAAUGUGUCAUGAUUAAGAGAACUUCGCAGAGUAAAUGAACUCAAACAGUACAGUGCAGAAUUACUGCACCAAAAGCACAUACGUUUGCUACAUAGUGGGAUAUAAAGGAAACCAUUCCACUUCUCUUGGUUAACAUCUGAGGUUUAACUAAGUGUAAUGGGCUUACAACAGCCAAAGACUGUUAGGAUGACAUUUGCCUAGGAUAUGGAAAUUGUGUCUGGAUGGAUAAUAUUCAGGAGUUUAUUGUAGUGAAGUUUCUCCCUCUGUAGACAUCUGGCAGCUGAACAUAAUUGUUGGUAAUUGCCAUUGUAAAGUGUAAGAAAUGUAAACUGGUUUGAUGGAUUAGUGGAGUUCAUUAUGUACAAACCCACGAAUGUUUGUAAAGAGAAUUUCUUUUUAAAUAAACUUUACAUGUUGGAACUCUUUUUUUGAGAUUUUCAGGAAAAUGUGAAGGUAGAACAGAGUUCCUGCUGACUCUACAUUAUAUAUUUGUUUGGUAUACUUGUUACAAUUAGUGAAAUUAUACCGAUACAUUAAUAUUAACUACAAUCAAUGCUUUCGUCAGACUACCUUGGCUUUUAUCUGCUGUUCUUUUUUUCUGUUUUAAUACCGCCUUCAAAAUACAACAUUGUAUUAAUAAUAACAGCUCCUUAUUC